AGAUCAGAAUGUUGGUCGUGCCUUGGUACGUACUGGCAUUAUUGGUUUCUCCUUUCUGACGAAUCUUAAUGCCAUUAAUUUGGUGUUUUGGGGAAUCAGGACUGUUACUUUGAAAAAAUUAGAGUGUUUAAAGCAGGCUCGCGCUUGAAUACAUCAGCAUGGAAUAAUGAAAUAGGACGUUUAAUUCUAUUUUGUUGGUUUCUAGGAUUGACGUA
rnacentral:rRNA from 1 species